AGAGUUUGAUCCUGGCUCAGGAUGAACGCUGGCGGUCUGCUUAACACAUGCAAGUCGAACGGGUGUAGCAAUACAUUAGUGGCGGACGGGUGAGUAACGCGUGAGAAUCUGGCUUUAGGUUCGGGACAACCACUGGAAACGGUGGCUAAUACCGGAUGUGCCCUUGGGUAAAAGGUUUACCGCCUGAAGAUGAGCUCGCGUCUGAUUAGCUAGUUGGUGUGGUAAGAGCGCACCAAGGCGACGAUCAGUAGCUGGUCUGAGAGGAUGAUCAGCCACACUGGGACUGAGACACGGCCCAGACUCCUACGGGAGGCAGCAGUGGGGAAUUUUCCGCAAUGGGCGAAAGCCUGACGGAGCAAGACCGCGUGAGGGAGGAAGGCUCUUGGGUCGUAAACCUCUUUUCUAUGGGAAUAAGAAAGUGAAGGUACCAUAGGAAUCAGCAUCGGCUAACUCCGUGCCAGCAGCCGCGGUAAUACGGAGGAUGCAAGCGUUAUCCGGAAUGAUUGGGCGUAAAGAGUCCGUAGGUGGUUAUUCAAGUCGAUUGUUAAAGAGCGGGGCUUAACCCCGUAGAAGCAGUGGAAACUGAAUAACUAGAGAGAGGUAGGGGUAGAGGGAAUUCCCGGUGUAGCGGUGAAAUGCGUAGAGCUCGGGAAGAACAUCGGUGGCGAAAGCGCUCUACUGGACGGCAACUGACACUCAGGGACGAAAGCUAGGGGAGCGAAUGGGAUUAGAUACCCCCGUAGUCC
rnacentral:rRNA from 1 species